CUCUUUUGCCUUCCAGUCAGAAACUCCAAAAGUUGUACAAAACUUUCAAGUUGUUUCCGUAGUAGAUAAUUGGCAAGAGAUGACAAUUCUAAGUAUGAGGUUUUCUAUCCAAAUCUCUUGUUUACACUUCCUUCUCCAUAUUAUUUUACUUAUUCCUACCCUCACAAUUCCAAUGUUAUUAUUCAUAAAGUCAUCGUAUGAAAUGGAGACUUCGAAAUCAUUCACGAAUGACAAAAUCUUUAUUUUGAGAAGAACUCAAAAUUUUUAAUAUCAACUUAAACCUUGCCAUUUUUCUUCUCCUUUGAAAAAUUUGAUAUCUCUUUUAGAACCAAAAAAAAAAAAAAAAAACAAACAAACAAGUGUUGCCAUUUUGUCCCCUAAAGAUUUCCCUCUAAACAAUCGACCUUGUUUUUCCUUUUUUUAUUCAUUUGUAUACUUUUUUUUUCUUUGAUAAAAAUAGGAGUGGACAGUCAAAGGAUUGUAACGGUAGAACUUAUAAUGUGCAAGUUAAUGUCCUCAAUUGUUUUCGUUUUAUUUAAGCUUCCCAUUGAACUGCACUCAUGUUUUUUCCAACUGAAAGUACGCUGCAAAUGAAAUACCACACUUAACAGUAUGGAGCAUUUCUUAAAGCUUAAAAUAACGUGGUCGAUUACAACACCUCAGCUUGAUAUCUCUUUUGAACAGUAACUCUAUUUGUCUCUCAAUAAUGACAUCUAAAAAAGUGUCUAAAAUUUUCUUCAUCAACACUUAUAUACAUUUAUGUGAGUUUUGGAGGUAGCCUUUUGUCCAGUGGUUGACUAACACCGGAUGGUUUUAUUUUUAACACACAUGCACUUACAUUGAAAACAAACUUCUAGUUUUAUUUACUAAAAAGGUAAAUAGACAUCCAUUAGUACUUAAUAUAAGAAGAUCUCAUUAGUGUAUGGAUUUUAGUUUUCUAAGAAAAAUUUUUAUGUUUUCUUUCAAUAUAUUUUCUAAUCAUUUUUCAUCUUACAUACAUCAAAUCGUUAUAAUAUAUUUUUCUAUAAAAAUUUCAAAAAAUAAUAAUCCAAAUGGGACUAUUUUAUAACAAUCAAUAAUAAGCUUUUUAAACUUAUAGUUAGCAUGAAAUUAGUCAUAUUAAUGUGAUUAAGGAUUAUGUUUAGACUUGUUGAUAGUGACUUAUGCCAUGACACAUCUACGUCUCUACACGUUGGAUAUUGCUUUUUAUGUUUCCCUUUUUUUUUUCCUCUAUAUUUAUUCCCUCUUCCCCCUCCUUAGAAAAUGGGAAAAAAAGGAAGGGUUAUAUCUAGAUUAAAGGUUUUUUGAAUUUUUUUUGUUCAUUUAUUGAAAUAAUUUUUGUGACAUAAUGUAUGUAACAUAAAAAAAUAUCUAGAGACGUGCUCAAGUAAUAAUAGAAACAAUUUUCUAAAUAAUUACUAAACCUAUUUUUUUAUUUUUUUAAACAUCCCUAUUCGAACAAAAAAAAAAGCUUUUAUAGGAGUAUUUCAUUCUUCAAGAAAAAAAGGAAAGAAAAUUACUGUUAGAGGGUCUAGACUCUAACUUAGGAAAGGGAUAAUUUCAUAAACCUCCUUGAGGUUUUCGACAAUUUCAUAUAAAUACCCUCAAAUAUUAGAAAUUACACUGACCUCCUCUGUUCAGGUAGACAUGACCAAAUGUCAUCAUUAAGAGCCUUCAAAUGACCAAAUUGCCCUCAAAAACUUGUGCCAACAAAUAUCGAAAAUAUGAGAAAAAGAAAUUGCUUUAAAAUAUAAUUUUGUUCGGCUACUUGGUACCAAAUAAUUGGAGGUAUAUAUAUGCUUAAAGCGCCACGUAGCACUUGUAAUAGCAUUAUUUGAAAAAAAAAACCAAAAUAGUUUUAAAAAAAUCAGGGGACUAGAGCCUUAGUGGUUUUGUGAUACUUCAUUUAUUGAAAGAUUUUGUGCAAAAAAGUGACUAAUAUACCACAAUUUAGGUUCUAUCAAAAUCACUCGAGGUGAAAGAUCACAACUUUUUUGGUUUAUUAAACUUACUUACAGGUUUUUUAAGUAUUGAUUGUUAUUUAUCAUGUUAAUGUCGCCUAAUACUUAUCAUGGAUAUAAUUUAAACAUUUUAGAAGAUUAUAUGCUGUACUUGCGAAUGUACCUCAGACUGAUGGCAAUCUUUUUCUUUUAUUUUAUUGGCACUUUCCUCAUCAAAAGUGUUAAUUGUUUUCUUCUAGAGAAAAGGAGGAUAAAUUUGAAAGAAUAUUGCGUGUCCGUAGUUUUGUUUCACUUUUGAGGUUAUUUUUUAUGACAGGGAUUGACUUUAUUGUUAAAUAUAUCAAUCAAAGAGGGAUCAGUGUGAUUUUUAAUAUUAGAGAGUAUUUAUGUGAAAUUAUCAGAAACUGCUAGCGAGGUUUCUAAAAUUAUCCCUUUAGAAAAAGAUACCCAUAUAGUGGUUUGUUUGGAUUGUGUUUUAUUUCCCCAAUUUUAUCUGCUUACAUCAUCAUUACAAUUUUCAAUACAUUUUUUUAUCUUCCCAAUUACUUUUUUAUCUCACACACAUCACAUCACAAAAAAUGUUACCGUAAAAAUAUUCCAAAUAAAACACAAUCCAAAUAAACCCGUAUUUGUAAAGCCAAACCAGCGUCGUUUGACUUGUGAGAAAGGCGCAGGAACUCAAAAGUCAAAAUGACGGAAAUGCACUGGCACUCGAAGUUCUUCUUCAGUACUGGUAAAUGAAGGCGUGAAACUUUACAUUUCAACGAAUUAUUAGUUGUUUGGUACUGGUCAACCGCAACCUUUUUAUAUUGGCUGCGGCAGAUUCCAGUAUUUCGGCCUCCGUUCGACUCGUGACUCACUGGCUCAUUCAUCAUCAUCAUCGUCAAUCUUCUCAUCACUUUCUCUCUCUCUUUCUAACAUAAUUAGGUUUUACUCAGGUACCGUUUUCCAGCCUCUCUGAAAUUAAUUUAUCUCCUAAUCAAUUUCAGUUCUUAACAAAUUCGUAAUUUUUUUUUGUUAAUUUUAGUCAUGCUUGAUCUCUACACCUUUUUCAUUUAUGUGUAUUGAUGUUAAUAUUCGUAAAUUUUGCUUUAGUGAUUCGUACAGUAAUUAAUACAAAAAAUUUGAUUACGUGAAAUUUUUUUUUUGUGUUGUAGGUGAGCAGUAAUGGUCUUCUUCCGGAGCGUUUCGCUGCUAUCGAAGCUGCGGUCUCGUGCUGUAAGUUUAUUUUUUCCACUUUGAUAUAACAGUCAUGCGCAUAAGAGUUAAUUUUUUUUGGUGAUUAAUGUGUUUAAUAAAUAAAUGUUGCAAAGGUGAUGAGCUUUUUUGAAAAAAAAUUUUAUUUUUGUUGGUUUCACUUGGAAUUAUUUGAUAGGUUCGACAGCCUAAUCUGAGCAAUUCAGUUCGCUGGCUUCAAAUUCAGACCUCUUCUCCUGAUCUGGUAAUUCUUCUUUUUAUUGUGGUAUUUUCCUUAAUAUUGAUGUUUUUAUGCGUUAAUUGAUUUGUGUUUAUUCGUUUUAAAAUGGAAAAUUGGUGUCGUUUGUAUUUUCUGCUUCAAGCGGAAUCUUUUGAUUGAAUUUCAAAGGAAAUAAAAACAAACAAAACUCGAAAUUCAUUUAUUUCCCUUUUGAGAUGCAAAAAUGUGUUGGAUCCAGUAUGGUAAAAAGUUGCAUUUCCUGUCAUGCCUGAUGAAUGCUGAACAAAUGUUUAAACUUUGGACAAAUCACCUCCAUUUAAGUUGUCGCUUGUGGAGUUUGGUGCUUGCUCUUCUGCAUAAGAAUCUCUGCAAUGAACUGAAUCCUUUAUGUAAAAUUUUUAAAAGACUGUUACUGGAAGCUUUGAUUUCACUAAUUGGCAUAUCAUCUACAAAACUGCAGGUGGUUCUCUCUGUCUUUCCAUUGUAGUCUUGCCAUUUUCUGUGGUAAUGUUCUUUUGUGUAUAUGUGGCACUCUAAUUUCUUCUGUCUUUGGCGUAGGAUCUUCGCUCUCAGCUAAAGGACCUGAUUCCAGAACAACAGGUGCUCAUUCACAUUGUUUUGCGUCUCCGGAUUUGAUAUCAAACCACUUUGUUGUAAAUUUGACUUUUCUAAUUUACUUUGAGUUUUCAGAAUUUUUUGUAUUAGCACCUGAAAUAUUCAGUUGUCUACAUUAGGUCUUUUUUCUGUUAUGGGUACUAGAACACCAAAUUUUAUAUUGAUACAAUCUGGCAGUUGCAUCCUGGGGUUGGAUUUUCACACGAUCAAGAAGUGUGAGUAUUGAUUUGUGAUAGCUGUGUUUAUUUGUUUACCUUUUUAUGGUUACAGGAUCGGCUGAAAAAACUCAAGUCAGAACAUGGAAAAGUUCAUCUGGGAAAUAUUACAGUUGAUAUGGUAAAAAUCUCCUGUUCUCUUCGUGAACUGGAAGUAGCUGACUACAUCAUUCUUAUUUAGAUGAUUUAUCACAUAAGAUCUAUUAUAAGAUUUUGUCAUGCAUGUUGGAAGGUACUCGGUGGCAUGAGAGGAAUGACAGGAUUACUUUGGGAAACUUCAUUGCUAGACCCUGAUGAGGUGGGAUUACUUUGGGAAACUUGACUGCUUCUUGUAUAGAAGUAUAUUUUUGGUCUUUUUUUUAUGUGGUUUUUUCCAUUUUUAUCAUUGUUUUUGUGUGUUUUUUUGGUUUGUUUGGCAGGGUAUCCGCUUUCGAGGUUUAUCUAUUCCUGAAUGUCAGAAAUUGUUACCAUCAGCAAAGCCUAGUGGAGAGCCAAUGCCUGAGGGUCUUCUCUGGCUUCUAUUGACAGGAAAAGUAAGUAGGCAGAUUGUAUCAUCAGUAUACUUGGGGGGGGGGGGGCGCGGGGGGGUAUAAAUGAUAUGUUGCUUCUGGUCCUCUUAUGCUAUGCCAUUUUUCUGAAACCCGUUCUUUUAUUGCUCUUUAAGUCACAAAACUUUUUUGUUGCAAAUGAACCAUUUGGUCCUGGUUCUGUUAGUGCUUGCAUGGUAAUUAGCCGUUCAACUCUUCUUGCAGGUUCCAACAAAAGAACAAGCUGAUUCAUUAACUCAGGAACUAAGAAGUCGUGCAACUAUUCCAGGUUAAGUACCUGUCAGGCUUGUAACAAACAGUUCAUAAUUUGAUCAUUAUACCCUACAUUAAUAUCUUUUGUGCUCAGAAGUUUAUCCACUCAACCAAGAUAUCUUAUAGUUAAUCCGUGUUAGGUUUGCAUGCAUCAGAUGUUAAGAUUAUGGUUACGUUGGCCAUGUCAAAUUUCCCUAUCAGCCUUAUGAACGUGAUUGUUAGCUAAUUUUCAUUACCGGUUGCAGAUCAUGUAUUUAAGACAAUUGAAGCCUUGCCCGUUGCUGCUCAUCCAAUGACUCAAUUUGCAACUGGGGUCAUGGCUCUUCAGGUGGGGUCCUAAACUGCAAUAUUCUCUUUUGGUUUGUCAGCACUCGCGAACAUGUUUUGCCAUUAUUUUUUGUUCAGUUCACUUGGGGGUGUUCAUUUGUUAGUUCAGGUGCUUGUGGAGGAUUCGAGGAUGUCCAUCUUUUUGCUUUCUGUGUCAAUUCAUUUGUGUAGCUUAGUUUUAAUGGUUGCUCCUGUCUAAAUACUUACCGAAAGCUGCAGGGAAAAGCCAAUGAUCUCAUUAGGGGUCAAUUUCUUUCCAGAAACUAUCCAUGUUGAUUUAUUGCUUUUGAACUUGUAUCUGUGUGUCAUCAUUUUAGAUAAUGUGGCAACUAAUACCUAUCGACUUUGUAUAAGGUGGACUUAUCAAUCAUGAAGAUGAAUAGUUUAAUUGAUAUGUUCUUAUAAGUUUGAGACAAGAAUUUUACUUAGAUCUUCUUCUAUAUUGUAAAUUUUAGUCGUGGGCUUUUUAUAGCAUCUGUCCUUUAAAGUGACAAAUAUGUUGGAGAAAUGGACUAGUCAAAUAUCUGCCUGAAGUAUUAUUGCAGAAAUUGCACACCUUUUAGGUUGUUUGGAAGGUCAUAUUUGGGUUUAUUAAGCUUUAUUUGUUUCACGAGUAACCUGCAAAAGUAAGGGGUAGUGCAGGUACUUUUAGCUGCUUUGUCGGACUGCUAUUUUUUUGGUUUAUGUUUGAAGUAAUUUUGAGAACACUUUUUUUCUUGUUUCAGGUACAAAGUGAAUUCCAGAAAGCAUAUGAAAAGGGAAUACACAAAUCAAAGUAAGAGUUUCUUAUGCUUUUACUGGACAGAAAACUGGGCUUCCAUCUUAAGCAAGCACUUAAUCUACUCUAUUUUCAGAUUCUGGGAGCCGACAUAUGAGGACUCUCUUAAUUUGAUUGCUCAGCUUCCAACUGUUGCUUCUUAUGUCUACCGCAGGUUUGUGAAGUCUAUGAUUUUUUUUUUUUUCAAUUCUUGAAUUGGUAUGGUGGUUUAUCAUUCAGAAUGUGACUGCUACUUCUACAAAUGGCAAUCAGCGCAUAGUAACCUUAUUUAUUUGCCAACCAGCCCCAGUUCUUCACUUUCAAAGCUGGGAUUUUACAACUUUGGGCUUCAUUAUGGAAAAUAAAUUGUCAGUACAUGGUUUAUAUGUCCUAACUCUAGCUAUUAAUUUGUGUAAUUUCAAUCCUCAUCCUUUGCCUCUAAUUGUAGGAGUUUCUGUCCUAAUUUUUCCUGCAUAAAAAAGGUGAUUUUUUCCAGGCUCUAUAACAUAUCCCUGUGAUCAAAGCACUUUGUAGGCAUUAGGUUUAAAACUUUUGAACCAGUAAGGUGAUUAUAGGAUGUCUGCACAGAAACAAGAAGUACUUAUGUAUGAUAUGUACCAUUUUAUAGCUAUCUGCUUGAUCAAAGAGGACAAUUACUAUGGAGUGGUGGGACUAAUAUAUCAGGGUUGUAGUGAUGCUUAGGAGACUAAAAGUAUGGACCGCAGGAGUGGAUUUUAAAAGGGAUCACAUAUUCAAGCACACACGCAUUUUUGGCAGAAUAUGUUAGGCAAAUAAUUAUGGGAUUUGCUUAAUUAAACUGAAAUAGUUUUUGUUAACCCUCUCACUUUCAUGUAGACUCACGUUUCUUGUUGCAGUUGGGAUCUCUCUGAUCUGCUUUUUCUUCCCACUGAUCCUUUUUCUUUGUGUUUGAUUUUAAUUUAAAUUUCUUCAAACUUAACGUGUUUGUGAUUUUACUUGUGAAGAAUAUACAAGAAUGGGCAAACUAUACCGACGGAUGACUCCCUAGAUUAUGGUGGGAAUUUUGCACACAUGCUUGGUUUUGAUAACCCUGAAAUGAAAGAGCUUAUGAGGCUUUAUGUCACCAUCCAUACGUAAGUCAUAAACAAUUGAUUCUUUGACAGUUUAGACCAAACAGUGAUCUGAAUGAGCCAGGUUAACUUCUCAACAUAAUACUUGAUACAUUUUCUUAUACCUCUCUUGCAGUGACCAUGAAGGUGGAAACGUUAGCGCUCACACUGGUCACCUGGUAAUGAAUUUCAUCCUCAAUUAAGCAUGCUAAAGUAUUGAACUUUUAAUUUAAUAAGGUUUCAGCACGUGCAUUGGGACUUUUGAUUGAAAUUUGAUUAAGUGCAUCUAAUAUAAAUAUAUAUAUGUGUGUGUGUGCGUAAAAUUAAAUCCCCUUGUCGUGUAAGCAUCAUACAUUUUUUCAUUUUCUCCUCUAACUAUAGCAUCUCUAUAAAUCAGGUUGCUAGUGCCCUUUCAGAUCCUUAUCUGUCAUUUGCUGCUGCAUUGAAUGGUUUAGCUGGACCACUCCAUGGGUUGGCGAAUCAGGUAUGCUGUCUUCUUCCUUUGUUGUUUUCUUUCUGUUUGAGAUAACUUUUGCACCUCUUUUUAGUGUUCCUUGCGUCUUGGAGAAGGAUUAUACAUGUGAUGAGGUUUAUGACCAGUAAUUCCCAUGGGCGCAAGUUUGCUACUCCAUUGUCCUUUAAUUAUACCCGAUAAAUUUUUGCCACUCUUUUUUCCUUGUGCAAAUCAGCUUAGAUAGGCAAAUCUUUGCAGUUUUCUUCUAUGCAUGCUUGGGAAAUUUGGUUUAUUAGCUACUAUGGCAUUCACGUAUAAUGAGAAAAUGUUUUAAGUAAGUUACCUUAGGUUACUCUGUUAUAAUUGGACAUUGGGCUUCAUGUUGCAUGAAUUCAUGCUCGUGUUUUGGUCCUGGAAUUAUAUCAUCAUGUCUUGCAUUUCAUACAACUUAUGGAAACUGUGAAAAGUCUUAAAAAUUUAUGGAGAGCAGCUAUUUGAUUCUUUGAAAGAACAGCCAAAUCCUUGCUGGGAGUUCUUGAUUGAUGUUGCUUCUCCCUGUGCUUUCUCUGACCUAGACUUAUCAGUUUGCGGAAAUAUAUUAUCUUGUAUUGAGUAGGAUCUGAAAUUAAUUCAAUCCCUAGGUCCGUCAUUUUGAUUGGCAAUCAGGUGAUAUUAAUCAAAUCUUAUUUUUGUAUUUCAUUACAUAACAAUAACUUAAUUACAGAAACUGGUAUUUGGCAAUAUUUUGCAUAGCAAGUUACAUGCAGAGAUUGCUCUGACUUUGUUCAUUAGUAAGAUAAACUAUUUGCGUUCUUUUGCAUCUAACUGAUGAAACAUGGGAAACAUGUUAUAACAGGUAUAUCUAAUCUGCCUUUGCUAUCUAUAGCGGUGUGCUGUUGUUGCGUAUCUGAUUUAAGGCUUACAUUUUCCUUGUUUGCUCACUAUCUGGAAUUAUUUCAGGAAGUUUUGCUGUGGAUUAAAUCUGUUGUUGAAGAAUGUGGGGAGAACAUCACCAAAGAACAUUUGAAAGACUAUGUUUGGAAGACACUGAACAGUGGCAAGGUAUUACUAUAUUGUCAUGAUAUUUGUGCAUUUUUGUUGGUUUACUUCAGUCCUCGUGUGUGUGUGUGCACAUGCAUAUUUCUGUGUGUAUGUGCAGAUGCAGAUACAGGCUCACAUAUAUGUGCAUAUUCAUGUGGGUGCAUCUCUCUGACCAGUUCCUUUAUGAAGUUUCCUUAUUUUGUCCCCAUGAAAUAGGUGCAAAGAACCAAAAUUGAAUUGUGGCACCCAGUGCAAAUUGAGCAUGGGGCAUCAAUUUAACACUGCAUUUAUGUUUAAAACAAAAUUUUCAAGCGUCUAUGAAGAGCCUUUUAAUUUUUCCAUGCCAGCCAUAUGAAAUCAAAGGCGUCUUUUUGAAUUGGACUUGUUUUGGUGCUCCAUGCAUGGUGCCUUAUCCUCUCAUGUUGAAAACCAUAGGUUGUUCCCGGAUUUGGACAUGGAGUUUUGCGCAAAACAGAUCCAAGAUACACAUGCCAGAGAGAGUUUGCAUUGAAGCACUUGCCUAAUGAUCCGCUAUUCCAAUUGGUGAUUAUCUAGGAUUGGUUUUCUAUUGCAAUGCAUAAUAUGAUAUUUAGUGCCUAAACUUACGUUUUCUUCAUUCCUUGUACAGGUGUCGAAGCUUUAUGAAGUUGUACCUCCAAUUCUGUUAGAACUUGGCAAGGUAAAAUGAUAACUUACUAAUCAGUAGAUUGCUUAAAAGCGCUUAAUCCUUAAAUGCACAUAAUCACGAAAGAAUUUGUCCAGAGCCAUUAGUACCUGGGGGCUCAUUUUGGUUGAGAUUCGUAUGGUAAUCCAUUUUAUCUGUAAUAUUUUGUUGGACAACCAAAUUGGGUUGCAUGCCAUUGUUUCUAUUUUUAUUUGAUGAAGCUUUGGCAGAAAAUUAGCAUUUGUCUUGCUUCCAAGACCCCAUAUUUCAGCUUAAAUAGUCCCUAAACACUUAAUAUAAUUCAAUCUGAAUUUGGGCCUCUCAGGUCAAAAAUCCUUGGCCUAAUGUUGAUGCCCACAGUGGUGUGUUGCUGAACCAUUACGGUUUAACUGAAGCAAGGUAUUAGUUUUCUUUCCACUGAUCUUGGCUUGUUCUGUGGUAUAUAGUCCCAAUUAUAUGUGGAUCUAUAAUUUUCUGAUAUAUAUUUGUUUGCAAAUAAAUUCUGAGCAGGUAUUAUACGGUUCUCUUUGGUGUGUCAAGGGCUAUUGGCAUUUGCUCUCAGGUACUUUUCAUUACGUCUUACGUUUCUUCGGUAUCCCAUUUCACUAAAACCUUUUUUAACGCAUUAACAUCUGGUUUACUGUUGAUUUAGCUAAUAUGGGACCGAGCCCUUGGAUUGCCACUUGAGAGGCCGAAAAGUGUUACAAUGGAGUGGCUUGAGAAUUACUGCAAGAAAGCUGCGGCUUAAUUUAGAAAAUUACCAUUUGCUCGAGAAAGGCCGAGUCUCCGUGGUUGUGGUUCCUGCCAGAUUGUUAAUUCGAUUGGGAACAUUUGUAACAAAUUUUGCAUUGUCGAUAUAAUUCCUUUGCUUUAGUAGAGACCAGAUAGCCAUUAGGUGUCUGUUUCCCUUCCCAGUUUCAUGUUCACGCCAUCGAUUAUUCAUGUGAAAGGAUUGCUACAUCGUUCAAUAAAUAUAUCUGUUAAAAGAGUUUUUGCAUCGUGAAUGCUGGUAAUUGUUUGCUUCUACCUCCAUCCUUGGAUCUGUAAAGUCAUAUUUGAAGAGGGCAUGAACAGUAUACUGAGGAAGGGUUGGCAAUUAUCUGUUUCUCGCGUAAAAGUGCUUCUGUUGGCAAGGCGCUGGACGACUGAAAACCAUCCUGUCGUCUCAAUGAUUUUUUUUUUUUUUUUCUAUAACGAUAAUAUUUGUAUAACCUAAUAUAUUCAAUUCUAUAGUAAGGAAAGUCUAAGGGGCUAGUAGAUAUACAGAUUUGACUAAAUUAAAGAGGUGUUAUGGUAUUUUUUUUUUAUUUUUUUCAUUGUAUGUGAGAUUCGAAUCUCCGAUCUACAACUCAGAGAGUGGCUGUUGAGGCAUGGUUCAGUUGGUUAUACUUUCUUCGAAAUUUUAUGUAGUUCAACCAAGUGUUAGUGGUCUAGAUCAAUUAAAAACGCAAGUUUCUACUCCAAGUUGUGUAAUUUGCUAGCGUGUUGAAGAUAGCAGCUCCAUGGUGCGCUGUAUAACAUUUCAAGGACAAUUAGAAUAGAAAUGUGGCUUUUAUGCAUAAAGGUUAAAGGCGCCGGUUUACUGUUUUUCACAGCUCAGCUUGCCUGUUAGGACUAGUGGGCAAUGAUUCUGUCUCUGACACAAACCUAGACUGUGAAGACUAGAUAUGUUUUCAAACUUGGAUCGGGAAUCGACUCGAUCGAACUCAAGGAUCAAGGAUCAAUGAAUUCGACAAAGUUCAAUUGGAGUUGAAUCGGAUGACAUCAUAAAUAAAAAGUAUUUAAAAAUUAAAAUAUUAUAUGUAAAAUAUCUAAGAGUUUAUUAAUAUUAAUAAAGGUAUAUUCAUAUAUAUUUGAAACAUAUUUGAUGUUUCAAAUAUAUUUAAUAAGAAAAUACAAAGAAAUUAGAACAAUCGAGUAGCAAUUUAUAUUAUUUAAUGAACAUUAACAAGUUUAGAAUUAAAAUUAUGGACUUAAUUGAAAAAUAACACCAAACUUUAAGACAACAUUUAUAAAGUAUGAAAUAUUUGAGAUAUAUUAAUAAUUUUUAACAAUUUAGGGGUCAAAAUAUAAUAUUAAAAAUGCUUUGGCCUUUCAAAAAAAAGAACUUUGACCCGGAUUCUUCAAUUUUUUCCGAUCAAACCUGGUUUUUGACCUGGUUUGAUCGAUUUUUUAUUUUUCAGGUUUUAGGGAUAACUUGGACCGGACAGUUGGCCGGUUCUCGGUUCGACCAAUCAGACCGCCAUGUCAGGUCCAAGUUUAAAAACAAUGUGAAGACCAUUACAAUAAUUCCGCACAAAAAAUCACUAAAACAUCAGUUUUUCCCUUCUGACCUCGUCCUAUUUGAUUCUCAUUUAAUGUGGAUAUUGUAUUGUCAGUUAAAUAUUUUAUACAUUUCUUUCUUGCAAAAUAAUUUUCCUACUUCAUGAGUAUUGUCUUUCGUUAUAAAUUAGUUGUAAACUUUUAGUUGAAUUAGUAAGGAUGAAUCAGAUUACUUUCUUACAAAGAAUGGUAUGGCACGUCGUGACUUGUUGAAAUGAUUAAAUCCAAAUUCACUAAACUUCUUCUCUAGAAAAAAAAACACACACGUGCACAAAAUCAUAAAAAAUUGCAAAUUUAACUCAUCCAAAUAUAAGGUUGCAAACAAAUCAAAUCACUCAUGAGUCGAUCACGAGCAGCUCGAAUCCGAGUUUGACUCGAGUUCGGUCAACAUUGAACUCAAGUCGAGAUCAAGUUGAUCAAAUCGAAAUCAAACUAAAAAAUAUUAAAUUCGUUAGUUAGCGAGCCGAUUUGAGUUCAAUUUUAUAUAAAUAUAUAUUAAUAGUAAAAUUACAUAUAUAUUUUUAAUAUUUUAUUAUUUGUUAAAAAAUUUAUUAUUUUAUUCAUUAUUUAAAAAUAAAAUUAUCAUUAUUAUUUAUCUCAUCACCGAUUUUUCAAGCUCAAAAUUUUUCCAUAUCUAUUUUGCUAAAAUGAAUUGCUCUGCCCGACUAUCUAAAUCUAUUCCAGGUUUCUACUGCUCCAGUGUUAGAUUCGAUACCGCUCCCUGCAUCCAUUUCCUCCAUUUUUGUCAAAAUGCCCCACCUACCUAUGUCAACUUCAGGUGCACUUCUUUCACUCUAAUACUCUAAAAUAUAUUUACUUGGGAAGAUUUGAUGCCAUUUGGGUAGUUUUUAUUUUAGUUAUUUUAUUGUGUUUCAAGAAAUAGAUGCAUGUAUAUCUUGUGAAAGUUUUAGGCUUUUUUUAGUAUACUACAAAUUUUUUUGGAAAAAAAUAAAUAGAAUAAAAAUUUGUUUGUAGGAUAUAAUAUGAGGAUACUAGUUAAAAUCAUGUUGAAAAUGGGCAGAAAAUUUGACGUGCAAUAUGAGAAUGUAGUGGAAAGGCGUAAUCUUUGACAGAAAAACUGUGAUUAGACGAAAUCAACCAGUUGGUGGGCCUGUGCUUUGUGUAUGCGUUGCUGCUGUGUUUUCAGAGCUGAGAUUUAGUGUGAAAAGAUGCAUUUGUUAACCCUAAAGUUACCAUAUAAAUUCGCUAGAUUAUAUGGUGGGAAAUGUGGUUUUAAGGAUGAGGGGUUAAGCUGGUUGGGCACUUGGGCUUGAGUUUUUGGAAAAAUGAAAGCAGAGGCUCCAGGGAAAUUGUCUCUCCUCUACCUCCUAAUUGGUCCAUCUGUCUUUCUUUAAGAGGAAAGAAACCGAAAAAUGCCAACUGAUUUAGAUUUAUUCAAGAAUCUGGCACUUCAAUUUUUCUCCUGCCAUCUUGUUGGAGAAGAGAUAGAUUAGGUCACGUUCUUAUAGCAAAGGACGGACUGGAAUGCAUGAAUUUCUGGGAAGCACUGCUAUUGUUGAGAACCUGGAGUAGGAAGGAUUUCUGGGAAGUCCACUUAAAGUCGAUUCUCAUAAGUCAGACUUUAAAAUCAACUUUCAAGACAUCAACUUCCAUUUUUUUUGGAAGGCUUGUAUUAUUUUUCUCUUAUUUUGAAUGAAACAAGUGAUAUUUCAGUAAAUAGCCCUUAAGCUCAGUUUUGAUAUGUAUGAGGUGAUACAUUCGACCUCAUAUCUGAUUGCAGAUAUGUGUCAAUUAUCUUUCUACUUCGCCUAGCUGUUAAGUUAUAGAAUCAAGUAAUUACCUCAAGAAACAUUGUGUAGAGGUACAAUGAAACAGAGGAUUACCUUAUGCAGUAGCUGCAGACAACUAAUGAGAGCCAAAUUUUGAUGCAAUGUAUACCAAAUAUUGCUUCUCUCAUGCUGAGUAUAUUAUUCUGAAACAAAAAUAUUGGUUAUACUUUGGGAUUAAAUACCAUGGAGAAGGUUAUUAAUAGCUUGGGUUAUUUUAGAUAAUUGAUUAGUCUGUUUCAUGCACUCCCAAUCUAUAAUUGACAGGCUGUGUUCUGAGGUUUUGAAAUGAUCAAGCAUGCUAGUGUAUACAAAAUUAAGAUGGAAAGUGUUGUGGGAUGCUGUCGAAAUUUUGAGUGUCUCGAACAAUCCUUUUAAACGCUAUGAUUUUUGAAUAAAUUGUGGCCGCAUUGUGCCUGUGGCCGACUCAAGAGUUUGUAUUGCGUGUUCUUGAGUUAUUCAAGGAGUUGGAUUUAUGUAACACUAUCUCAUAGUUAUUAUGUAUCAAGGGUUCAUAGUAGAUUUACAGCAGUUCUAUUUAGCAGCUUCCACACUUCUUUUCGGUUUCUUCAGGUCCAUUUCUCGGGCAAAGUUGGAAUAUUUCAAUUUAAACAUAUAAUGUUAAUUGAUAGCCAAUAAGUAUAUAGUUAAGUAUUUUUUUUGUAUGAAAGAGGUGGAGGACUUGAAAAAACUGUUUCUAAGGCGCACAAGUGUUUUUCAAUUCGCUUUCUGUAGAAGUGUCCUGCUAUGCUUUUAGUCUACUUGAUAUUCUCCGAAAUGUGAUCAUAUUGCAGAAGCAGUAACUAGCUACAUUGUAACUGUAUUCAGGUUGAAGAAUUCUGUAACACUGAAACUGGGGCAGAAGUUACUUCCUACGUGUGCAUCAAAGACAAAUCCCUCAGAAGGAUCUGAUAGGAAGAAUGGCGAAACUGCCCGAGGCCCUCCAUUCCUGACCAUUUUGGCUGGUUUUCUUGUAUUUUUCGUUCUAUGUUGGAUCAUUGGAUCUAUUGUACUGUGGCUCAUUGGUCUAUUUGUCCGCGCACCUCCAUCCAAAUGACAUCAAAUUUGUACUUUAUGUAGGCAACUUUGUUCAAUAGCUAGGUUCACUUUUCUUGACCAUCGCUUUGGAAUCCAAUAUUUUCUAUUUCCAAGCAUGAAAUCACAGAAUCCCUUUAAUAAACUGUUCAUAUUCGCAAAGUGUAAUGCAAUUCACUCUGGAGACUUUGGCUGGCAUUGAAACAUCAAAAGCUUCCUUCUUCAACCAGACCACUGAUGAAAGCCCCCUUUUACUCUACCUUCUCAGCAUGUUCUGAUAAUUUUUUUUUCUUCAGCAGUGCUCAUUUGAUGCCACCAUUUUUUCUGGUCAAAAACAUCAGGGAUCUAGAUCAGAUUGAAUAUGAGCUACCAUUAUCACACAGAGAACUCUACCACUGCCACUUCAAUCCCUCUUUAACAAUCACCCUUUACUAUUCCUCAUCUGUUUUUGUGAAAUUGGAAAACAUUCCCUACCCAGCUUACCCAUCGCUCUUGUCAUUUUGCUUAUUCAUCAUGAUUUAAGUUGCCGAAAAGCAUGAUUAAGUGAACCGAGUGUGGAAAGGGGGCUUCUCUCUGAAGGAUGGAAAUGCCCAAGCAACAAGAAUAAGAACCAUGUAAUACCCGUUGCUGAAAAUUGAAAUGCACCAUGUCACAACCCUUCGUGGGAUGGGGGAUGUUUACUAUCUAUUCUUAUUAACAAGGUAAUUAAUAAAAUUAAAAUUUCUCAAAGAGUUGUACAAUUUUCUACCAAAAUAUUAAAACAACAAUCUAAAUUACAAAUCUAUUUGGAAUCUUUUCCUUGCACUUCAUGAUUAUCAUCUGCAAAAGUAGCUGUAAAAUUACGUCUUUCAUUGGAAUUUGCUGUGAUGACUGGCAUCCACACAUCAGCUGUACUACUCAGGAGAGAUCGCACCUCUGGAUCUGAGGAUAUCAUUUUGUCAACAUCAUCCAGUUUUGAGGACAGUUUAUCCAGCUCCUUUGCUAUUUCAAUCUAAAUAAAAACACAAUAAACCAACAGAGGUGAAUAAAACAGUAAAAGCAUUAUGCCGGCAAAUUAUACUGCUGAGAGCUGUGAAACAAUCAAUCUUGUCUUCAAAGCAUUUAGUUGGCUGGCAAACGGCCUUAAAGACUACCUCAUCAAGAUCUUGCGCAGAUUUUGAAGGGACUUUAGUAACCUCCGAUCCCAAGGCUUCAAUCUUGGCACGUAAUUCUACUUCCUCUUGAUUGGUUAAUGAUUCAACCUGUAAAAGUUUGUCAUUAAUGGUCUUAGACAGAACAGAAUACAUCUCAGCUGAAUCCCCAAUACCAAAAGAGAAGUGCCCAACUCACAAAUAAACUGUGCUAACACAGUUUACCAACCGAAAUGUCAAGAAACAAAUUAGGCAGGAAGAGAUUAUGACCCAAUAACAGUCAAAGGCAUCUUAGUAUGCUGCAUCUGAAUUUGAGUCAUGAGUUAGUAAAAUUUGUUGAAGCAAUUUUUACUUAUGUAUGGUUUUAUCCUUCCUAAAAAGUUGUUCUCAAACACAUCCUACACAGAAGAAAAGGUUUAUUAUGGUAUACACCCUUGGUUAAGAACUUCUCAAAGAGCUGGGAAGCUAAUCAUGAGCUACAAGAGGAGAAAAAAAAAUGGUGGCAAUCCAUAGCAGGACUCUUAAUCAGAUAUUUUAGCCAGCAAUAAUGGGUUGCACCUCACUUCCCUCCCAAUCUCUCUCUUCUUCUUGUCAAGAUGAAGCAAUAGACCAGCUUCUUUUCAUAUUUAUAACCUUCCCUCAGAUGGGGAUGGGGUUGUUGGAUGGUCAUUAAAUCACUUUAGUAACCCAAAGGAACCAUUUCUAAGAUGCAAAAUGGCUUUAAAGGUAAGAAUUUUGGGCUCAUACUUUCAUUCAAACCAAUUUAAUAAUAAAAUAAUUCCUACCUUACUCCAAUAAAGAAGUGAAUUUUGGUUAAGGUAUCAAAGCUAUGCAGGUCAUGGAUGGACAGUAAAACAAUCGAUAACAUUUUAAAUUUCUAUAUACUUGUGACUGAAAACCUAUGUAUACCCCACAAAAAAGAAGUUCUUGGUUUAAACUUUUGCACAUAAAACCCUGAACCUGCAGAUAGGAACAUAAUGCCUCUUCAAUCUUCACUACAACAUAUACCUUUGAAUCCGUUAAUAAUUACAGCAAUGGCAAUUACAAAUAUUUAUAUCUCAGUACCCUCCUUCACCAAAUUGGAGAUUUUAGACCUUAAAGUCCAAAGUGCUACUCAAACCUGGUAGCACCCAAUAACCAAUCUGAAAAUAAGUACUAUUAAGCAUAUUCAUAUUUGGAAAUGUCAAGUGUUUACCCGAAUUGCCAAGCAGCAGAAGAAGUGCUAAAGUAAAAAAUGUUGAAGGCUAAGCUGGAUGCAGUAUGUGCAGAAAAAGACAACGUAUAGUAUGAAAGGGCAGAAAUAGCUAAGUGCUUUGCAGGAUAUCGCUUCUUUCUCUAUCAGUCCCAAUAAUUCAACAAGAGCACAAUCUGAACCAAGCUAUUACCUCCCAGUCCUUUGUGAAGUAUAGCUCCCUAAGUUAAAUAGAAAAGUGCAGCUGCUGUCAAGCUUUGCUUCUUUUCCUUUCACUUAAAAGACCAUCUCAACAAUGUAUACGUUCCCCAAAAUGUGUCCCCAUUAAGCUUACUACAACAAUAAAACAGACUCUGCAAACUCCAGUAAUGGGAGAGUCAAGUAAUACGUGAAUUGCAAAAAUUGCUCCUUAAGCUCGAGAGAAAUCUAGCCACCAAAACAGCAUUUCUCAACGUGAGGCACACUACAGAUAUCCAUCCAGCAAUGCAACAAAUCAACACAUGUUCUUUCGUUUACCAUUUUACAUGUAGAUUACCAACGAAAGGGCUGCUAAUACCUUCCCAUCAAAUAGAAUAUGCAAACAAACUCACUGUUACCUUGCUGGCCUACAGGAUUCCUAAACUGUUCUACUCGAUCAGAAAGACACCCAUAAAAGAUGACAUUUGUAAGAAAGGUGAACCCCUUCAACAUCACUUGACAAAAUAAGUACUUAGAGAUCUAACCUCCCUAGGUGCACCUACUUUGGUUGAUUGCUCAAUAUCAUUUUCAAUCUUGGUCUUGUCUGUAUCAGAAAAUUGAGUGCUGAGGAAGCAAAAAUAGAAUGAAGAAACCAGUGCUAGUUCCCACUUCUAAUUUGUGUGCCUUGUUAAAAUGUAGAGACUAGAGAACAUAGUAACUCGUUCUUCAAAUAUUCUUUCUAUACAGUAGUUUUAUACAAGUUACAUAUCUAACCAGAAACUUACUGAUAGACUUUGGAUCAAUGGCAGUGUUGGAGAUGUAAAAAGAAACACUUGUGUGGGUAUACAACAUAUGGCUAGAGAGGCAUCAAACACACUUUCCUCCAUAGUGAAAAACUACAGACGUGAUAAUUUCAAAAAUCAUGCCCAUAAAUCCAUUCCUAACUGAGUCUUUGGACAGCACUCCAAAUUCAAAGCAUGAAUGGGAGCAUAAGGUGACACGGGGAAUUUAUUCAGAAAAUUUCUUCUGUUUUGGAUGAGCUGUGUUUAAAAGACUAAUAGUCAUCUUAAAUGAAUCAAGAACUUAUUUUUAUCCCUUUUCUCAAGGAAGAACUUAAUAAAGCACUAUACUAACUAUCUACAUCACCAGUUGAAGGGAUUUCAACCAACAAGGGCAGCUAAGAAUCAAAUUAGAAUUGGAGCUGGAAUUGGAUUCACAUUCUACUAAAAUUGAGCUAAAAUUUUGUAGUAUACAAUUCAAAUUCCAGUUCCAAGUAUGAUAGGCCCUAUUUUCCUACAAAAUACUUUUCCAUUUUCACAUCAACUGAAAUUCUCUCAAGGAACCAAACACAUCAUCUCCUUCUUUUAAGUUAUUCGACUUACAUGCAGGAUUCAAUCCUCAAUGUCUCAUUUCCUCCCUUCUCCUCCCCUCCUAAAAGCUCGGAAAAAGAAUAUACAUCCAAGACGUACAAAAACGAAAAAAUCUUGAUUACACAAACAGAAAAGGAAAAAGGAAAAAUGAUAACAGAGCCUAUUCAGAAAAAUCCAGAAUCAAGCAAUCAAGAAAAACCAAUAAAAGAACUUAAAAUUGACGUUGACCAAAAAAAUCCCAUAAAGAAAUCUAUCUACCUGAACUCAGAUAAGGAAUCUUUAAAUCCCAAGAAAAUAUUAAUUCCAAGUUCCGUGUAGAAUGCAGAUACCUGUUGGAGGAGACUGGACAGGAGACCAAAGAGCUGAGCAUCAGCAGGAGGAGAAGGUGCUUCUUGUGAUGAUUUACCUUCUGCCAUUUUCGCGAUUGCAGAAGAUUUCUUGGCAGAAUACCCAAGUUUCCUUUUGAGAAAAGCCAAACACGGGCUUAUUCAGUUAAUGGACAGUUGGAGACCAGAGGGCGUGCCCCGGUUAGCUGAAUACUCAAGUCUCUUGUCUUCAUUUUUUUUUAAUUUCUUUUUCCUUGUGGGAGAUUUUUAUUCUUUUUUUCUUUUUUUUUUUGGCCUUUUUGAAAGUUAUACCCCCUCUUUCUUUUUUUUUUCUUUUAGCAUAAGUAGGAAGACUCGAACCCGAGACCUCUCACUUACACUCCCUCCUCCCGUAUCACCCAAUCGAACCCUCCCCCUAAAGUUAUACCCUCUCUUAAUCCAUUUUUUUUUUUUCAUCCAAUGCUUUUUUUUUUUCAUAGAAAUUGAUUAUCCACCAUCUCGAUAGCAUAGCAAAAUAAGAGAGUAAAAAUAUACAUGUUAUAAUGAGAUUACCUACCUAUUUAGUUGUCUACCUUUAAUAGAUAAACGACAUUUGAUUCUUAUUAUUUUAGCAAAUUUGUUAAGCAUCAUAUUUUCAAUUGUUUACCUAAAUUCUUCUUAGUAUUUAUGUUUGUGUUUUUAUAUAUUGGAAACAAAACAGAAGGAAGCACAUUUAAUUAUGACCAAUAGGAAUAAUUACAAUUAUAUGGUCAUUUGAUGAAGAUUUUGAUGUUUUCCUCAUAAAAAACUAUGCUAUAGGAACGAACAAAAUUUUGAGUAUUUUAGCACUAGCAAAACCAAUUGCGUUCUCCAAUAUGAAACUAAGGUGAAAAUGGUCUUUUUAGAAUAUAAGAAAAAAUUAAAAAAAAAAAUCUAACACUUUCAUUUACUUUUAAGCAUAAGAUAUAAGAUAAGAAUGGGAUAUUUCUUGGUGGUUGGGCCUUAUCUUUCCUAUCAGAGUUUUGCUAUCAAGUGCAAUAUGAUUGAGCAGGGACGGGUGGCACAAUCCCAUUAAAUUCUUUGGGUAGAAGUAAUUCAUUGCUGAAGAAAGUAGAAUGAGAUCAUUGACAGUAAUUGGCCCUGUUUGCCACUUUGGUGGUCCAGUCCAGGUAUUGCCAAUUGUUUGCUAACUUGGUAGUUUCCUAUCCCAAUAUACAAUUUGUUCCAAAAAAAUAAAGGAAAAUAGAUAACAUAAGAAGGUUUUUUAAAAAAAUUUUUUUUUUUUUCUAGUAGAGAAGUGGGAUAUAAGAAGUGAGAGAGGGAGGAAGGCGAAUUAGAAUUCAGGAUCUCUAAUUCUGGGACUUCUACCUAAUAAAAUGAGAAGUAGAGUAAAAGCAUAUAAUUUUAUUAUUAUCAAAAAGUGAAACACCUUGGUCUGAAAAGGAAAAAAAGAAAAAAAAAAAAGCCAUCAUCUUCUUUUAUGGCAACCUAAAGCUCAACCUUUUUUUUUUUUUUUUGUCUUCAUAUUUUAUUCUAUUGGUGAGGUGUUGUUCGAGUGGUAUAUGAAAUUAACUAGGUGUUUGAGCAAUGUGGACAAAAUUGAUUUAUUUCUUUAGUUCAUAGAAUCCAAAAGUCCCAAUUUAGUUGGUUGAACUUGAAUAUUAACUAAAUGAUUAUAAAAUCCUUGGCUCCACUCUCAAGCUAUCUUUUUUUUCUUUUUCCCCCUACAUUCUUGUGAGAGUAGGAGUUUCCCAUAAUAAGAUAUACAGUUGGUGAAAUUAAAAUUUUGUUUAGCAAACCUUUUGUUGCACAAAUAAAUUUAUCAAUGUAGUACUAAAAAAUGUGAAGUUCCAUGAAGAGAGUUUUGCAUUCACAAUGCUCACAAGACAUUUAUAUAUACCCCUAAAAUAAUACUCCCUCCGUCCCACUUUGAUAGUCCUGUUUUCCUUUUUCGUCUGUCUCAAAUUGUAGUUGUAUUUUAAUUUUUCUAAAAUGCCCUUAUUCAAUGUAAGUUGUUGUUACUAUAAACCUACCCCAUUUAAUGAGAGUUGAUUCAGUUUUUACCAUCAAUUCAAAUUCCCAUAAAGCUGUACUCUAUUUAAUGUGAGGGUAUUUUAGGAAAAUAACAAUCUAAAUUUAUUUUUCCAACAAAGUUAACUACUUUUUCUUAAACUGUGUGAAAAAAGAAAUAGAACUAUCAAAGUGGGACGGAGAGAGUACUUGUUGCUGUCUAUUGGAUACACAAGAUUUUAAGAAUUGCUGUGCAGCCUAAAAGUUUGUACUCCUUUAUCAAAUGGAAAAUACAAGUGAAAUGAAUCCUUUUUAUCUUGAGCUGCUUUAUAAGAUGACCUCUAAGGCCCUACCAGAUUUUAUAAAAAUAAAUGAAGAAUGAUACAUGAUAAUGACCCGCAAUAUAAUCUCUUUAAUAAAGAAAAAGAACACAUGAAAUAUUGACAAUGACAUGGUAACGUGCAUCUUAGAGCCCCAAAAAGAUGUCAUUUCACCAACACUCAAGUCUUCCAGAUCAGUCUCAAUUCCCAGAACUACAGGAAAAUGUUUGAAAAUUUAGAUUACUUCAUGAAAUGUAUAUAUUAUCAGCCAACACAAGUUGAUCAGUCCGCAACAACGAAUUAAUUUUUUCUCAUAAAAAAAGUCAAAUUCUGCCACUGCUGAUGUAAAGAUUGUACCCUGCACACGAUCUAUGGUUACAGAGACAUACUUUAAUCUAGAGUAAUGACUGAAGUGUACACAUCUAAAUUUUUUUUUUUUAAAAAAAUUAGAAUAUACUCCCUCCGUCCCACUUUGAUAGUCUUGUUUUCCUUUUUCGUCUGUCCUAAAUUGUAGCCCACUUUCUAAUUGAAGAAUGUAGUUGUAUUUUAAUUUUCCUAAAAUACCCUUAUUCAAUGUAAGUUAUUGUUACUAUAAACCUACCCCAUUUAAUGAGAGUUGAUUCUUUUUUUACCAUCAAUUCAAGUUCCCAUAAAGUUGUACUCUAAUUAAUGUGAGGGCAUUUUAGAAAAAUAGCUACCUAAAUUAAUUGUUCCAACAAAGUUAACUACUUUUUCUUAAACUGUGUGAAAAAAGAAUUAGGACUAUCAAAAUGGGACGGAGGGAGUAUAUAUUAUCAAAUAUCUUACACUAGAAAAUGUGAUCAUGAGAAUCUGCCUGCCGACUGCCUUACUCACUUGGUCAUAUGCAGUGGUUGGCGCUGAGGAUUUUCUAGCCAUGGUAAUCUGGCCAUAUUCCCGAUUUUAGAGUCAUAUUUACUCUGGAUAACUAAGAUGAGACAAAAUGGGUUUUUGAUGUGAGAGAGGUUUGACUCUCACUCGUCUCUUUCGCCCAGUGAGAGUCAAACCUCUCUCACAUCAAAAACCCAUUUUGUCUCAUCUUAGUUAUCCAGAGUAAAUAUGACUCUAAAAUCGGGAAUAUGGCCAGAUUACUGGCUAGAAAAUCCUCAGCGCGUGUCGAAGUCAAAUUUGUACAAAAACUAAUGGACCCAAUUUGGGACACCUAUGAAAGCAGGGAUAAGUAACUCUGUAGGGUACAUUUCACACACCGUGAAUUUUUUCAUAUUCCAUCCACGCAUUGAAUUUUUGGCCCAAUCCUUGAUCAAUUCGGUCAAAACAUGUCAUAUGAUCACAAAGCCAAAAAUACUACCAAGAGUUUCUCAUUUCGUCGGUCAAGCUUUUAUUUUUCUUUGAUGUUAUUUCUACUGCUGUCAUCUUAGCAUUGGUUGCACAUUCUAGUGCAUGGUGAUGUCAUUUGACUCAUUUUUGCCCUAUGUAUGUGCACAAACUAUGGGACUCGGGUCAUGGACAGUUGUUGACAAUCAUUCGAUCGAAAUGUUGUAAUAUUUUCUCGAUGUUUCGUAAUUUCACAUGGACCACCCGUAAAAUUUCAUAACAGACACAAUUAUUAUUAUGCAUGAGACGCGCAUGAACAAUAACAAAAUAUUGCACACAAACUAUGUUUCGUAAUUUCACAUGAACCACUUGUAAAAUUUCAUAACAGACACAAUUAUUAUUAUGCAUGAAACGCGCAUGAACAAUAACAAAAUGUUACACACAAACUAUAUAUGUUUCGUAAUUUCACAUGAACCACUUGUAAAUUUUCAUAACAGACACAAUUAUUAUUAUGCAUGAAACUCGCAUGAACAAUAACAAAAUAUUACACUUCUAUUGUAAGUAUGUACAGGUAAUUAAAAAAUAAUUACAACUUGUUGAAAAAGUGGUACGCUAUUCUGAUCCGUGCUCCGAGUCCCAAAGAAUGUGGGUCCCAAAAUCCCAAUCAAGAAGGAAGUUUAAUAAGACUGCCUGCUUGGCCAUUUGGAUUAGCUUUUGGACAUAUCGUAUACUUUUGCUAUAUUAUGUUGUGCAUGGUUUUUAGCACUAAUCCCUUUAUCUAAGAGUGCAAUUCUUGAAGCUUUCUUGUCCUUGUCCGUGGAAAAGGCAGUUGAUGACUGUGUGAUGCUUUUUUAAACAAAAACACAAUAAUGCACAAGAUAGGAAGUCGCCUUUUAAUGAGAUAAGAUAUGCCAUUUAGUGUGGAAUAAUCGUUUAUGGCAAAGGGCUAGUGCGGCCCGGAAGGAGAAUAGGUUCUUUUUGCAUAAAGGACCACAAGAAUACGCAACAAAUCAACAUUCUUUUUUGCUUUUAAACCCCCAAGCAACGUAUACUUUUUCACAAAAAAUGUUACUAUGUUUUACCAUAAUAAUCCACUUUAUGCAGUGAAAUUUUGUAACGGUAAGGUUUUGAACAUAUGAAAUCACCUAAUUUUACUCCUGUUGUUAAUCUUAAAACAUAUGAACUAUUACACAUUAAUGGUUUAUUCAAAUUUGUGACGAUGGCAAGUCAAACUUAGUAUAGGAGCUCACGUAAAUCAAGAGCUUAAAAUAAUAUGCAUUUUUUGAUUUUGUUUUUGAUUUUAGAUUUUUUUAACGGGUAUUCAAUGAGCCAUCGUUAGUACAUUGAGAUCACAUCUAUCCUAUAACACCUAUUACAUGAAUUUACAUAUUAACAAUUAUUACUUUAUCUUGUAUUUAUAUAUAUUUUUAAAUUAAUUUUACUUUUUUAAAAUAUGAACACAUGAACUCUAUCAUAACGUGCCGAUUACAGAUUGUUUUUUUUUUUUAAAACGUUGUGUGAAUAAAUGAGUUACACUCACUAUAUCGUUGUAUAAAUUUAAAAAUAUGGUUGUUAUCCACGAAUUGGCAUUCUUAUUCCUUGGAAGCUGCAAUCCCAUUUAAAACUCAUGAAAUUCCUAAACCUCAAACAAAUAGAAACCGACCAAAACUGUGUGAAUUUGCUACCCAAUUUCAUGGAAGUUAAAAAAAAAACCUUAAUCCCCACAAAAUAUUCCUCCUCAAGAGUGAAAACCUUAAAAGCGCCAAAAUAAAUAGGGGAUAAUAUUGGGAACCUUCGCUGAGGUUUCUCUCAAUAUCACUUAGUAUCCCUAAAGUUUUAAAAAUUUUAUUUAUUUCCUUUAUUUUUAUUAUUUGCAUAGCAAAAUAUUUUAAAACCCUAAAUUAUUCUUUUGCUUAUUUUACUAAAUGAAAUGCUCUUAAACCACUUUGUUUACUCAAAAAAAAAAAAAUCACAACCUAAAAAAAAUCUCUAAUAGUACCAUCACAUCACAAAACUAUAGUCUAUAAAAAUAUAAAUUUGGAAAAUAAAAAAAACAUUUGUAAAUAAAUACACUAGCACUAAUUCAACUCUAUUUUCUCAAAAUCGAUUUCUUAUGAACAUUUUUUUCCCCAACCUCUUUUCAACCCAUUCUAUAAACCUUUAAGUUGUACUAAAUUACUAUAAAAAUUAUGCAAAAUACACAAAAAAAUCAUACCCUACUCUAUCAUAAUCAUAAAAAGAAAAAGAUAAACAAAAUUAAUUUACUAUGUUUCCAAAUAAAAAAUUGCAUAGUCAUCAAAAUAAAAAAAAGAGUAAGAGAAAAUAUUGGAGAAAGGGCAAAGGGAAGAAAGUGAAUUUUGUUUCUUUUUUCUUUAAUUUUUUUGAGUUUCAUUUAUUAGAUAUGUCAAUUAUAUAUUCAGUGAGGGAUAAUAUAGUCAUUUUGCAAUUAUAAGGGGAAGACAAGUGAUUAUUUUUAAAACCUAACGAGGAGGUUUGUGAUAUUAUCCCAAUAAUUAGCCACUCUUUCUCCUUUGAUCACUAUUGCUACAAGCAAGUACUAGCAAACUCUAGACUCUAGUUCGUUCGGUUGCCCGCCUUAGCUUCUUUCCUUGCCCGUAAUGUUUCUGCUUACCUUCAUGUCAGUUAGGUGCCGCCUUGUCUUCGCUCGCUCACUCGCUCUCCAUUUAUUCUCUCUUUCCACGUAACUCUCUCUACAGUCGUUUCUUAGUCUUCUCACACCCUUACACCUGGACUUCAAUUGUUUUGUUCCAUUAAAACCAUGGUGUGACACUAUUUACUGCAGCUCCACUGUCCCAUUCCUCUGCUCUGGAAGCAGCAGAGUUUCAAGAAUUUCCGAAAUAAAAUCUUUCAUGGUAAAUUUCUAGUUGUUUUUGCUGUUCUCAAGUCAUCUGUGAGUCCCUUUACCUGUACUGUUCUUUUGGUAAGCUUUGAUCACCAAACAGAGAAGAAAAGCAUGCUGAAUUCUGUUUCUUGAUUAAAAGUAGGAUUUUCUCUGUUUUUUUUUUCAAUUGAUAAGCAGCCUGGUGUUAGUUUGAGUCACUGUUGGUUAAAUUCGAGUUCAGUUACUUUUAUGUUGGAAAGGAAGUUGAGGUUUUGGAAAAAGAAACACGAGUUUCGAUUGUUUCAGGGAUACGAGAAAGGGAGUUUCGAUACCGUAUUUCCUCUGUUUUCUGAGGGGAUACCAAAUAUGGGUUUUCAGGGUCAUUCAUGAUUAAAUUCUGUUUUCUCUGUAAUACGUUUUGCUGUUAUUUUGAUGUAAUCAGAGUAGAAAUGUUAAGGGAAUAAAGAAGGAAGAUGCAGCUAUGGAGGGACUAGUCCAAUUUUGCCACGUCUUUAAUGUUUCUUGAAAGAAACUAAGUGGUUCUCUUCUUGGAGUUAGAAAGAGAUGAGUGGAAAUUUCUUUCUUUCUGUUUUUUCCCUCUGCGGCGACUCUUUUUCUCAGGCCACUAAAGCUGAAGAGCUGAAAUUCUUGUCUUUUAGUGUUCAAAUUCUUAUUAAAUAGUUAAGGUGUGACAUUUUGUUCAUUUCAAUUUUGGGUUUUGACAGGUGAAUUGUAGGGUAAUUUGAUUUUGUUGUUGGGAUUAUAAAUUAAAAAAGGAUGGCUUACCAGAGGAGGGGAUCGGACCUCCAACCGCAGAGGCGUAUUCUGCGGACACAGACUGCUGGUAAUCUAGGGGAGUCUAUGAUGGACAGUGAGGUGGUUCCAUCAUCACUGGUAGAGAUUGCACCAAUUCUACGUGUUGCCAAUGAGGUCGAGCCAACUAAUCCCAGGGUCGCUUAUCUCUGUGAGUCCAUGACCAUUUCAAUAUCCUUGUGUUGGUUGUUACUUAUUACACAAAUAUGUGUAUAUGACAUCUAAGCAAUCCAUCAUCUAAAAACCGUUGGUGGAUAUCAACUAAUUGGCUGUAAGAGCUGAGUGCAUGUCUCGAUGAAUUUGAAUACUGAAGGUUGUAUGGCUGUUCAGCUGAUAAUGUUGUACCAACAUGGUAUGAGAAGAAAAUAUGAGUUUAAAUGCUAUUAAUUUACUGACUGUUAUGCUACACUUCUUAAUCUCAAACUAGUGUUUCAGUCUGCACAAGUCAUACAGGGAUCAAAUACUAGUUAAAUGUUGUGGUACUAAUGCUAUCGCCCUCCUUUUUUGUGACUAUAGGAAGGAUGAUAAGUUGUUUAGACAUGCUAAUGUUUAUAUGGUUUCCUGAAAUUCACUUGUUACAAAUUUUGUCUUUUAGUAGAUGAUUAGUACUGAAAAUUUUGAGGCAUUUAGAAGGGAAUGAAUGAAAUGUAUUUACACCAUAUUACAUACUCUAAUGGCCUUGCUGGGGGACUCAGGUCGGUUUUAUGCCUUUGAGAAAGCUCACCGUUUGGAUCCAACAUCAAGUGGACGAGGAGUCCGUCAGUUCAAAACAGCCCUGCUUCAACGUUUGGAAAGGGUAAUGUCAAAUUUUCAUGAAAUUGAAAUGAAAAAAUUGUGUCUAGUUACUCGAUGUAACUUUAGAAUAUUCUAGUGCUUGUAUCAGCAAGAGGACUUUGUUAUCAGGCUAAUCCACCAUAUUUGGAUUACCCAAACAUAUUCUUGCUGCUUGUCUUCAUCUAAAGAUGAAUGAGCCAUUUCUAUUCCUACAUUUUCCAAUUAAGUUUGCCUGAGCAAAUUCGUAUAAUCUGGAUAUCUUGACAGGAAAAUGAUACAACAUUAGCUGGAAGGACAAAGAGUGAUGCUCGAGAAAUGCAGAGUUUCUAUCAGCACUACUACAGGAAGUAUAUUCAGGCGUUGCAUGCUGCUGAUAAAGCUGAUCGGUAGGUUAUCUGCAGUCGUGGGCAUUUAUUUCUUAACAGCUAAGUGCAGAUUCCUUGCUUAAUGCUUCUUUAUGAUCUCUUUUCUGUCCAGUGCUCGACUCACAAAAGCAUACCAAACUGCUGCUGUACUUUUUGAGGUCUUGAAGGCCGUUAAUUUGACAGAAGCAGUUGAAGUGGCUGAUGAGGUAUUCUACUUUCUUUCCUUGUAGAUCAUAGAUAAUCUUGAUUGUACAGGAAAGUAUACUGGCAAUUUGCAGAGGAAGUCUUUUCUAUGCAUCUGCUUGAGGAGGUUUCAUCCUGUUAAUUGCUUCAGUUCUCCAUGUACAUUUCUUCUGCAAAAGAAGUGCAAAAGGAAAAGAAAAAGAGAGUCAAUUACAAUAGUUACUCAACCUGUUAAUGACAAGUCCCUUUGCUCACGCCGAAGACAAGUUCCUCAAUUCAUACUCAAAAAAGAGUUCCUUUAGUCAUAACAGAUUAUGAUAGCAGUCUCCACUUUUUCCAGAGAUAUAGAUGCUUCCUAUUUCCUUGAUCUUACAUCUUUCCGACCGUUUAUACAUCCCUAGUUUUUAUGGAUGUAGAUUUUGGAAGCUCACACAAAGGUUACAGAGAAGACAGCAAUUUAUGUCCCUUAUAAUAUACUACCCCUGGAUCCUGACAGUGCAAGUCAAGCAAUUAUGGGAUAUCCUGAGGUUCGUUUCUAGUAAUUUCAUCAAAUUAUAGCUAAGGGCCAAUAUUCGGCAUAUUUAUGGACCUUUUGCAUUGUCACAGAUUCAAGCUUCAGUUUCCGCACUUCGUAAUAUUAGAGGACUACCAUGGCCUAAGGGUCAUAAGAAAAAAGUUGAUGAGGAUAUUUUAGAUUGGCUUCAGGUUAUGUUUGGUUUUCAGGUAAGUGCUGCUUCUGCUAGAGCUGUAUGUGUAUAUACAUGGAUGACUGAGAAGUAGGGCAUGGCCAAAUGGUUGCAUAUGCGACUGGUUGCAUAUGCGACUUAGAGAUGAACAGCAUUGCUCAUUGCUUCUUGUAAUGAUUUUAUUCGCUGAAGUAUUAUUCAUCUACAGAAGCAUAAUGUAUCAAAUCAGCGGGAACACUUAAUCUUGUUGCUGGCAAAUGUGCACAUUCGUCAAUUUCCAAAGCCUGAUCAGCAGCCCAAAGUACUUCGCUUCCAUAAUUUCACCUAAACUGCCACCCCUCAACUUUUUCUACUUUUUUUUGUGGGAUCGCCCGUGUUCUGAUGAUCUGUCCUGUAUGUCUUUGUAUUCUAGUUGGAUGACGAGGCACUUACAGAAGUUAUGAAAAAGCUCUUCAAAAACUACAAGAAAUGGUGCAAGUAUCUUGGUCGCAAGAGUAGUCUUUGGUAAGUGAAUUCACCUCCUCCUCCAUAAGUUAAUAUUCUACACUCUGCUUUUUGUUUGUAUCUUUACAUUCUUUUGCCUCAUUUUGUUGGUUUUUAGACUUCUUAUUCCAUUAUUGUCUCCAUUUGCAGGUUGCCGACAAUCCAACAAGAAGUGCAGCAAAGGAAGCUGUUAUACAUGGGCUUAUAUCUUCUUAUCUGGGGGGAGGCUGCAAAUUUACGAUUUAUGCCAGAAUGCCUCUGUUAUAUCUACCAUCAUGUACGAUUACUUUUUUCCCCCUGUUUUAUAGUGAGAUAUCCAAUCCUUUUUGUCAACUUUGAAGGUCUCUUGUUACUUUUGGCUCUCUUCCUGCCUAUUGCAACUAAAAUUCUGUAAAGUUUUGCCUUUUCUUGUAACUCUUUUCUGUUAUGCACAUAAAAUUGGAAUCUGAUUGAGUCCAGAAGAAGCAUGUCCAGUUUGUAACACAAGCACUAAAAGAUGCAGUUUUUAUAUAUUUCUCAACGCACGUAUCUGUUUCUGGUUCUGUACUAGAGCAAUUUCAUCUUAUAUCAAUGCUGUACAUGAUAUUUAGAUGAAGAACAAGUGCUUAUUUGAUUCCUUGGUUGUUAGGUUAAAAUACUAUUCCUCAAUAUGUUGAGAUCUUAUUUUAAUUGGUCUGGUGAAUUUGAGCACAGUCAGUUACAGCAUAAAAAGGAAUGGUUUUGUAUCAUCUGCAUUUAGUAACCACAGAUGGUUUAGUUUGUUUUCGAUGCAUGAUUGGACUGCCUUAACAGCUUAGUUUUCCAUAUAUAGGUGAGCCUGUUAUUUGGGUGAUCAGAACAUGUAGGGCAAUAGCUUCAGUUGCAACCCACAAAUUCCCCUGCUCUAAAGUCAUGUUCUUUUGGUGUGAAGUACAAAUUCCCUGGAAAGAUGCAUAGGGUUGGCUGUAGCUAGUGAGUUUGGAUAAUUGCUUGAUUCUUGAUGGAACUGUCUUGUCUGUAUAGCCUGAUAACAUAAAUUGUUGUGAUGAUUUGUCUGCCUGUGAUAUUCAUAAACUCCACUUUUAUGGUUAAAGGAUUGCGUUUGUUUUGAGUGUAUUCUAUUCUACUUUACAUAGAGAACUGAUGCAGAUUACGGUCUUCCUAUCUUAGCUGCAAGUCAGGUCACUUAGUAGUGUCGAAAAGAAAACUGGUAUCGGAGAAGUGAAAGGAAUUUACCAAUGGCAGCAGAAAAAUGGGUAUUAAGGAUGGUUGUGGCCUUCUUGAAUUGCUGAAGGUGUUGGGAGUUUUGUGCUUUGUUGGUAGAAGAGAGAAACACAAAGGAUCCAGCCAUUAGGGACUAGCGUCAAAUAUUAGGAAAUAAAGAGAGAAGAAGAAUAAAAAGGCAUUGUAAAAUUGAGCAUCUGCAGUAUCUUGGGGAACAUACAUAUUCACUUUCUGGGCACUGGAUUGUUGGAAACCUUGUAUGACUGUGAAUUCAAAAGAAAAAGGAAAGGCUGUUCCCAAUGAAAAACAAAUCUGAUCAACUUGUCUACAGUAGCAUAUGUAUUUCAAUGCUUGUUGAAUGCUUUAGUAUCAAGUUGUUAAGGUAUUAAAUGAACUAUGACAAAACUAUUAUUAGUAAUAAAUUUGUUGCUUCUCAAAGAACUGCACAUCCAAGCUGACAUAUUUUUCAACUUAUUAUGCUCAAGUUCUGAUUAUAUUGAAUUCAAUCAAUCUCCUCGAUAUUAAGUUAUUCUGCUGUUUAUAUUCAGAUGGCCUUUGAACUUUAUGGUCUGCUUGCUGGAAGUGUUAGUCCUACAACAGGUGAGACUAUUAAGCCUGCCUAUGGUGGUGAUGAAGAGGCUUUCCUGAAGAAAGUCGUAACUCCAAUUUAUAACACUAUAGCUGGGGUAAUUGCUUCUUGCUGGCUUCUGAGAUUCUAAACUUUCCUGUUUCCAUCUUUAGCUUAGGUGGGUUUUGUCUCUUACUGCUUUUUCUGCCACACAGGAAGCUAAAAGGAGCAAAGAUGGAAAAUCAAAGCAUGCUCAAUGGAGAAACUACGAUGAUUUAAAUGAGUACUUCUGGUAAGCUUCUUUAGAAUAGGAGUCAAUGUUUUCCAGUUCAAAAAAUGUGCAAACUCAGUAGUGCUUGGCAACAAAUUGCAGGUCAGAAAAUUGUUUCAGGCUCGGAUGGCCAAUGCGUGCUGAUUCCGACUUCUUCUGUAUUCCUGGUGAAAGGCAUCGCAGUGACAAGACUGAGGUAUAUACUAUUUUCUGAUUAUACCAUUCUUACCUCAUUAUUGUCAGUUACUAGAUCCUCUCUUUUCUAAUUGACUUUGAAGAGCAAAAUUAUUAUCCUCUAUUGGAGGCACAGUUCUUACAUUUCACUUCAGGUUUUUUUUUUUUUUUUUGUUUUUUUGUUGUUGAUAGGGCUAGACCAAAUUUUGUCUUUCAAAUAUUAUAUCCUCCUUUUAGCUGCAAAAAUAAUUGAACUUUUACCUGUCUCUGGUGAUUAGGAAAGAAGAAGAUAAAAUUAGUAAUGUUUCUGAUAAUAUGUUAAUUGGUUGGUUGAAUGGAGCUCUUUUAACGAAAUUUCCUAUUUAAAUAUAAAUGUGAAGUUACUUGUAAGUUGAGUAAACGGAACAAAUUCUCGUAAAUACUUUGUAAAGUUGUUCUUCCUUCUCUGUAUUGCAUUGAGUAUCCCUUCAUAAUCUUUGUGAAGCUAACUGUUUUUGUCCAAUUUCAAAGUGCCAAAUUCUUUCACAACAAAAAAUUCUGGAUUUUCUUAUAUGUUGAGGCAUACCCAAUUUUGAUGUCAUUAAGCCUAUUGGUAGAUAUUCAUACUAAAAUGCUCCAUAUGGUUGAGCCAAUUAACUUUUUCAUUGCUGAAGACUACAAUAUUUAGUCUUUCAGUGAUAAAGGCGCAACAGUCAGUUUGGUAAGACAGCAAAACUGGUGCUUAGAUUGCUGACUUCUAUUGGAUGAUAAUCUUUCUGAGGAUAAGAACUGAUAAAUGAUGAAAGCAGAACAGGAAAAUUGAUACUAUUUACAUUUGCAUUUCAGAAAACAUCAGAAAUACAAUGUUUGCAAUAUUCUAAUUAUGUGAAAGUUUGUUCACUGCCCUUCUCUUUCUCUUACCAGAAUAAUAUACCUUUAGCUGUAUGUUCACUAUUAAAAAGCUUUCUUCUACCUGAAAUGAUUGAUUACCUCUUUCGACUACUUGACCAUGUUAUUCAUGUCAUUCUUGUCUUUUGCAGCUUUUUAUUAAAAAUGAUUUUCUUCUUAAUCCCUAAAUUGUUCAUCCAGUUAAUUUCUCUUGGACAUUUUAUCUGUUUCUUAAUGAAGAUAGUUCACUCGUUAUCUGGAUAUAUGACCUAAAGACUUGCUCCUAUGUGGAUGUGAUGCUACCAGGAAAGUGAACGAAGUACAGGGGAUCGAUGGAUGGGAAAAAUUAAUUUUGUUGAGAUACGCUCGUUUUGGCACAUAUUUAGGAGUUUUGAUAGGAUGUGGAGCUUUUUUAUUUUGUGCUUGCAGGUAAUCAUUUUAUUUAUGUUGUGAAUAUAUUUAGCUUUUGGCUAGAGUCAGCUUACCUCCUUGAAGUUGACACUUAAUCCUUUUCGAACCUAUCAAGUUUAAAUGGGGUUAAAUUUUCCUGUUUCUAAUGGUUAUAUUUGCAAUGUCAACCAAUACUUAUUUCAAAUUUGAAUGAGAAUAAAGAUCCAUUCACAUUAUAGCACUUAUACCCCCAUUAAACCUGCUAAUUUAAAAAAAAAAAAAAGAUCCAAUGCCUAGCAGGAGAUGAAGUGGAAUGCAACUGUUGAAUGAAAAAGAGAAAAAGAAAACUGGAGAAGCCAGAAUUUUACUUCCUUUAUGUUUUUUUGUUGAGGACUUCUCAUCCUCGAGGUUGUAUCACUUGUCUUUGUUUUAUAAAAUUUGUUCUUCUAUCUUGAAAAGAAAAUCUGUACAACUUAAUAACAAAGAAAGAAGGAUUAUAUUCACUCUCUCUUUUCCAGCUCUUCAACAUCCCAAGUUUUUCCUUUCUUUCUCAUCUUCUGCUGCUAUUCAUCAACUUCUUGACACACUUGACCUAUGGCAAUAAAACAAGGACCAGGUUACUUACUUCUCAAGUUGUAGUUCCAUUAUGCUGACCAGCAACUUGUUGGGAGCAGGGGCAAAAAACGCCUGCCCAACCUAGUAAAGUGGUGGGCAACCGAACGAGUAUUGCAGUUAGGGGGUGGUCAGAAGCAUACCCCAAGCAGCCUCCUGUGAGCCCAAAAAGCGCCGGGGGGGGGGGCUGGGGAGAUACUGGCUGCCCUCCAAAGAGAUAAUACAGCUCUAGAAGGAUAUUGUGGAGGUUUCCCUACACUUUAAGAGUACUUAUAGAAAAUCCCUCAGAACCUUCUGGAAGAGCAUCAUCAGAAAACUUAUAAUUGGCCCGUUUUACUUGGAGUUGUAAUUAAGUGUCUCAGUAAUCUGUUUGUUUUUCCUUUACCUUUUUUUUUGUUUUCUAUUCCUCCAAGUAUAACACCUAUUAUGUCAUUAACACAGGCUAUGAUCAUCGUUGCUUGGAAUGGCUCAGGCGAUCUUGGUUCUGUAUUUGAGGCAAAUGUAUUCAAGAAAGUCUUGAGCAUUUUCAUAACUGCUGCAAUACUGAAACUUAUCCAAGGUGAAUGGAUAUCAUAAUCUCGUUCUGUUAGAUUACAUUUUUGUGAUGUCUUAAUGCUCUAUAUGUCAACUAAUAGUGACAUGUGCGGUCUUUCAUGUUCUUUGUUGUUAACAUUUUUGCUUGUUCAGUUAUUUCUUGAUACGUUAUUUUCAAGAUAUUCAUGCGUAUACUGGAUAUGCUUAACCUUGUUAAAAAUUCACAUUGCUACUGUAAAUGUAAUCCUGGGAAAGGAUUAGGAUUUUGACAAUCACACCAAAUGAAUCAGCAAGGUCAGCAAAAAUAGUGUUCUUAUCUGGUUUAUGGUGCUGUACUUUUGGUCCACAAUGCAUAAAACCAAAAAUGACUGCUUAAGUUUUGUAGGAAAGAGGAGGUCAUUGUGUGUCUACAUUUUUCUGUAUGCCACAUAUGCUGCACAAGAUUGUAUUUAAUGUAUGGCUUCUUUUUCAUCAUAUAUUCAGCUGUUGUGGAUGUAAUUAUGAGUUGGAAAGCAUGGCACAACAUGUCUCCACAUGUGAAGCUAAGAUAUGUAUUAAAGGUGGUUUCUGCAGCUGCUUGGGUGAUUGUUUUGCCAGUCACUUAUGCAUAUAGUUGGAAAAACACUGCUGGAAUUGCGAUGACCAUUAGGAAUUGGUUUGGAAAUGGUGCAAGUUCCCCUUCUUUCUUUAUUAUUGCAAGUCUGAUAUAUUUGUCUCCCAACAUGCUCUCUGGAUUAUUGUUUCUGUUUCCCUUCAUCCGCCGGUAUCUUGAGAAGUCGGAUUAUAAAAUCUUCAGGCUCAUUAUGUGGUGGUCUCAGGUAUAUAAGCUCAUGCAUUCUAAAUGAGUUAGUCUCCUGUAUUUUAAGCUUCAGAUAUUUUUUCUGAUUCUUAAAGUCAUCUUGUCAUGCAAUCAAUUUCCUUUGCUUGAACAAUGCAGCCUCGACUCUUUGUUGGCAGGGGGAUGCAAGAGAGUACAUUUUCUCUUUUCAAGUAAACUUUCUGAGCUUUUCUCAUUGCCUGGGAAGAUUUAUGUAUGAUGUAUCCUGAUCACUAUUAAUAAUCAUCUAUCCCAGAUACACUCUAUUUUGGGUUCUCCUAUUAGCAGCCAAGCUGGCAUUCAGUUUCUUUAUAGAGGUGAUGCCACGAAUCCUCUUUGUUUACCAUGAUUUCAUCUCACAGAAAGUAAACGAAGCUACACUUUUAGCAUGCUUUAAAUAUAAUAUUAAUCCCAGUAUUAAAUCAGUAGUCUAGUCAUGUCACGAAAAAUUUCUGUCUCUUGGCGUUCCACAUGAUUGAUUGAUUAUAUCAUAGGUAUGAUCGUGAAAAUGGAUUCUUCCACAGUUAGUAAAAUACCUAUAAAGUCAAUGGCUGUGGAUAAGAUUUAUGUAGGAGAGAAGUAUAUACUUUGUAUUUUUAAAUUACCACCAAAAAGCAGAAAAGACUUUUGUAUUCAGAUUCUUCUUUGUUCUUGGUCUUCAUGGUGCUGGACUAAAAGGUGGGUUUGAACCUAGCAAGACGAUAUGCAUAAUAAGCUGUCAUUAUACUCUAUCAAACAGAAUCCUUUAUUAACUGGGUGUAACUUGACCUUUAGCCGCAUGCAUCCCUUAUCUGUUCUUUUAGUCUUAUCCUUUUUUUUCCUGACUAGCACCAUUUAGUUUCUUGUCCAUCAAUUCACAUUUGAGAAUCGAUCAGUUUCCUUGUGUCAAUAAUCCUGUGAUAUAUAGUACGAUUUGGACAAAUUGACUCUGCAAAUAGAAAUUAAGAUAACUUGGAGGUGUAAGGGCUGCGGUGGACCAAAUUAAUGACAUAGUGUUUCAGGUAGAUUUGUAGCUGAGACCACCAUUCUGCCAUGACUGCUUUAUGUUACACAAAGUUCUUUGUUCAAGGAAAUUAAUCUGGAGGUCAGUUAUCAGCCUAGAUGUAAAAGAUAGGCUUGACAGAUUUUUAUUGCAGAUAAAGCCUCUCGUAAAUCCAACAAAAGAAAUAAUGAAGGUUCACAUAUCACGUUAUGCAUGGCAUGAGUUCUUCCCUCGAGGUAUCCAAUUAUGUAAAUCUCCCUUAGAGAUGUUGUGUAAAUGUAAAAUUGCUAUCCCUCUAAAUGUCUAUUUAUGAUCAUUUUACAGCAAAUAAAAAUAUAGGAGUGGUGAUUGCACUCUGGGCUCCUAUCAUUCUAGUAAGUUCCUGGUCAUAAUAAUACUAAUUUUUUGCAGUUCCUAAUGAGAUAAGUUGUCCUCAUUCUGAUCUUCUCUCUUGUUGCUUUAUGUCUUGCUUUCUUCAUCUUUCCUUUUCUUUUUACAAAAUGCAGUUUCAUUUUGUUCCCAGGUCUAUUUCAUGGAUAUACAGAUCUGGUAUGCUAUUUUCUCCACAAUAUUUGGCGGCAUAUAUGGAGCUUUUCGGCGUCUAGGAGAGGUUGGUUAAACUUCUCAUACUCUUAGUUUCAGUCUCUUUUUUUUUUUUGGGGGGGGGGGGAUAGUAAGGGGGGGAAUGAGAGCAGUUUUUUGUUCCUCUAAUCUUAGGAGGAAUCAGCAUUAGGUUGGUAACCUUGGCCACUUGGUACAUGGACUGAAUUUCGUGCUAUUGAAUAUCAAAGAUAUAUUUGUUGUGAAAAGACUGAAUAAUUACCCCUUAAUCAGAUCUUUUGCUUAGUUGAUACACAAUAACUGGUCCAAACAAUGAGUUGCUUAGGUACAUGUUGUAGCAAACCAGAGGGGCUGGUAAAUCUAGCAGGUGACUUUUUAGAAUUCCUACAAGGAAGCAAUAUUGGUAUUUGUUAUAAGGGUAAAGAAUGCAUUUUAUCACUCUGUGGUUCAAUUAAGCAUUUUGCAUUGCUUUAUUAUUGAUUCAUUGAUUCUCUGUUUCUCAGUAUCAGUUGAGCUUCAUUUUAAGGGAAAUUGGUAAUUUGAAAGUAUCAGUCUCUCUAUGUUUUUGAAAUGACCAUAUUGCAUUUUUUUCUGUAGAGUUCAAUCAUUUCUUUGAGACAUAGCAUGUUACACACUGUGCUCUUGCUUUCAUUAAUUUCCAAAACCUCCAUGAAUUGUUUUUGGGUUUGCUUCAUAAGACUGGUAGAGGCCUACUAUAGCUUGUUGUCUUGUCACCUAGAGUUUGGGAAGGUAGAACAAGGAGGAGGAAGGAAAAGAUAGCAAAGAAAAGAGAAAGGGGAAAGAAAGAGAGAAAUGAUGAUCUGAAAAAAAUUCAUUUAAAAAAUUGCCUGCAACUAAUGUGGCACUUUUUGUAACUUGAUGUGCUACUUGGACUGAAUGGCAAGAUAUCACGUGUUUCUAAUGUUGAGUGGCUGAAGUGUGACUUUGAACAGUUAAAUUGCCUGGAAUAGUACGUUUGAAAAAGUUUAUUGACCAUCACAGUAAUCUAAAUUAUUCUUUUUUGUUCUUUAGGAGAUCAGAUGCUUUUUGAUAUUUAGCUUAUGAAUUUGGAACAUAUCUUCUGUCAGAUAAGAACCUUAGGAAUGCUGAGGUCUCGCUUCCAGUCAUUGCCUGGUGCUUUUAAUGCCUGCUUAAUUCCUGUGGAGAAGGGUAAAAAACCUAAGAAGGGACUGAAGGCAACAUUUUCUCGGAAAUUUGAUGAGGUUCAUAUUAGUAAAAUAACUUGCUAUACUAUGUCAGAUUUGCUGUUAUUGCUUCCCCCUCCUCUUUGCUUGAUCCGAUGACUAGUCUAGGGUAUCUUCUGCACCCCCUACAUCGCGCAAUACGAUGUCCCGGCGUGGCUCAUCCACCCUUCGUGAGCACUCCCCCAUUGCCGCUGCCCCUUCUUUUGGUUUCAGACCCCUUCUCAUAAUCGAAACUCUCUGCCCACCUAAUGCUUUGCUCUGCCCUGGCAUUUUCACCGUUACUGUAUGAAGGUCUCCUCUUUGCUCUCGUUUCUUGUUACUAUAACUCUGAUUUUCCUUUCCUUUAGUUCGUUCAAAUGCCCCCUCAGGGCUUCGGAACACCAGCCCAUGGGGUGGACUGGGUAUCGCAUUGAUUUUUUCCAUGAGCACUUCCCUAGAGUCCCUCUCCACUUGGACUGGUUCAUCUUCUCCAUUGUCACUUAAAAUUCUCGCUUUUGUUAAAUGAUAAUAGAGAGAUUCAUUCUAUAACAAAUAAAAAAUUAGGCUCGAAACCUCAAGCGAAAUAAAGAAAUUAGUAAGAAAAAUCCUUGUAUAUACACAUCUCUCUAUACACACAAAUUUUGGCUUGGCAAACAUCAUAAAUUGUGUUUCAAUCUAAUUUCACAACAAUUGGUGAAACCCAUUCAUAUGCACUUGUCCAUCGUUAAACAAAUACUUAUCAAAUGAUAAGUAUGAAAUAUAAAAGUUAUUUCUAUGACUCACGACAUAGGCCACUAGCUAUUAACCUAAAUCAAUAAUUGUUUAGUAAUAUAACAAUCAUGACAAAAGAAUAAUUCGGAAAAAGAUAUUUAAAGGAAAAAAAAAGGACCUCUCAGGUUAAAGUAAGAAACUCUCCAUUCCUUAAUAAUCCACAUUGAAUUUUUUUGGAGAUUCUUAAAUGAGUUAAUAUUCUUUAGGCUAAGGGAAUUAAACAUGGUUGUAGAAUCUAUCAACAAUCGACAUAUUGAAUAAAAGUACGAAAUAGACUUUCAGUAGAUUGAAAUUGGUAAGGACAUUGAAUCUAAAUUGAAUUUGGGUAAAACCUAACACGAUAUUAUAGCUAGCUGUACUUUUUAAGCAACAAAGAACCCAAAAAAAAAAAAAGCUACAAGAAAGAAUGAUUUUAGAAGAAAUAUCUUUUAAUCUCCAAGAAAGAAUAGUAUACAAAGAAACUAUCUUGUAAUAUCCCAAAUUAUAAGUUGAUAUGACUUACAGCUUGACAUAUAAAUCUUUAAUGUAUGACUUCUAACAAAAGUGAAGUUCACUUAUUCUGAUUGUUUAUUUUUGGUAGGAUUAAAAUGAAUUAUAUUUGACAGAUACAGGUUACAAAUGAGUAACAUUGUCCCACAAAACAAACAGAAGACUAAAAUCUCAAGCUAGAAUUAAACAAGUAGACUAACAUGAGAAUAUUAAUUCUUUAACCAAAAAUUUAUUUGAGAGACUGUUAAAUCACAAUAAAAUAUUGAUCUUAUGAAAUUAUUUUGGCUAAUAAUCUUUAUCUUGUUUUAAAAUAUGAAAUCAAAGAGAGGCAGGAUCCAAUAUAAUACGUGCAUAACAUCUAUAGCAUACUUUCUUUUGGUUUUCUAAAGUGUUUCUAUAACUCAAUUCGAGCACAAUACCUACAUACAUAUCCCUUUUUACCAGAAUAUUUUCUUUAGAACAUAUAGUUAGCUAAGAAAAGACAAACCAAAUUAGCUAACUACACAUUAAUUGUUCAUUUUAUUUUUGCAUUUUCUGUUAUAAAAUGGAAUUCAUAAUUCAAGUAUCUCAUUUUGCAUUUUCUAAAACUUUUUAUGUACACAACAACCUUGCAAAUUAAUAUACUAUUAAAUUAUAAACUUAACCCUAAGCAAGACCAGGCAAUGUACAAAUCAUGUUCUCUUAUACUAAUAUGUGCAAGAUAUACCAUGUAUAACAUCUCUUCGCUGUUAGUAUAUAUAAUUCACCAACUUUUCAAUGCAGCUUGCAUUUGUUUCAAAAAAUUCUUUGUUUCUUAGAAAUUUUUGCAUUGUUUUAAAGUAGAUCCACUUAAACAAACAUUUUGAAUGACUUUAAAUUACAAAACCAAGUAAUAAUAGUGUAGAAUAUCUUUCUCUACUAUUAUUCUAUAAUGUACUAGGAAAGGAAAAGAAAACAAAAGGAACAACAUUAGAUGUAGAAGAAAAAGGAAAAAUGCCGAAAUAUCUGAAUAUUACCAUUGGAAUUAAAAAAUAAAUGGAAAUUAUAUAAAUGCCCAUGUUAUGUUAAAAAAAAUCUAAGAUAUAUUAUACUGUUGUAGAAUAUAUUAUUGGCACAUUAAGAAAAUGACAUGUGAUAUGUUUUUGUGAGAUUAUUUCAAUUUAUUAGCCAUAGUUUUUAUGUGUAUAUACUAUAAAAAUAGACGUGACUUUUAUGUAUGUCGAAUAUGUACUAAAAGCUAUUUGCUAACAUAGUUAGUGAAGAAAACUCUUUUAAAGUGGACUAAUUAUUUCUUUUAGUGUUUUUUUCCAUCUAUAUAAGAAUUGUUCUUUAUAUUUUUACAAGGUAUUACAAGAAAUUAAUUCAAGUAUAUCCUAAUUUCAUAAGUUGUUUUUAUAAUUUUUCUUUAAGACUCCUUUCUUUUAUCAUUUUACAUCAAGAAUUUGAUGUUAAAAUGUAUUUGUUUUCAUUUUUUUCAUAAAGCUAACCACCUAUCUUUUUAUUGUCUCUUUGUUGGUUACAUCCUACUUUUAUUUUCGGAAUGGUCAAUGUUUACUGAAUUUUUCCCCACAAUUAGUUUCGUCAGAGUAAAGAUUAAAAAAGUAGGCUCUUCCUUGCUUAGGUUGAUUAAUUAAAGUGCUUCAAUGUAUAUUAGAUUCAUAUAUUACUAUGAAAUAAACUCAAUCAAUUAUUUACAUUAAGGGUCUGUUUGUUUGGGUGGAAAAUAUUUUCCGGAAAACAUUUUCCACAUUUUCCGUUGUUUGGUUGUCAAUUAAUUUGAGAAAAUGAUUUCUGACGAAAAAGAACUUACACCGAGAGAAGGAAAAUAAGUUCCUUAUCUAUCAUUCUGAAAUUAUUUUCCUUUCACACAGCCUUCACCGAGAGACGAAAAAUCACGGCCUUACUCCACCACCCAUUGAGACGAUUGAAGACCCAACCCACCACCAAGCAAAGUUAUAUUGCAAAAACCCACUCUCUUCUCUAACACUUUCAAAGUUGUCUUGCAAAAACCCAGCGAGUUGAGAAAUGAUUGACGACCAGUGAUUGAAAACCCAUCGGUAAAUCUAUCCUUCUUUGCUGGCGGCAUUUUACUUUCCUGCUAAUAUCAUGAUCGGAAUGCCCAAAUUGUGCAUGGUCUAAAAGGAGAAGAAUGACAUUUUGAAAUGGCCUUAGUAGAGGGGAUGCCAAAUAAUAAGUGAACUAAAGAAAACCUUGCAUUUGGUUUCUUGAGAAAUCUUUUUCAUACUGCCCUUGAUACGCUGCAUCAAUGACAGACAAUAAUGUGUAAAAUUCUUUCACCGGAUUGAGAUGUUAAUGGAGCUGCAAGUAGCCUGUAGCUAUUUGCGCAAGUAAUUUCUUGGUAGGGCUUAAGAGAGAGCGUGAGAUUCUUUUUCCGCUUGUUCUUGGAUGUGAAAUUUUUUGGCCAUGACUUUGUAUGGACAUGACAAAUGAACCCAUCCCUUCUACCUCACAAGUGGUCCUUUUCCAUUUAAUACAAUGGUUCCCUAUUCUUAUCUUGCACUCUCUUUUACUUUCUUCUCUUAUCCUGCCCACCUAUUUUCUUUCCUUCUCUCCAACUCCCAAAAGAACCUCAGCUGAACAAAAGCAUCAAGAGGCAUCCCCACCUGCAUAAAACUUCCCUACUGAACUUGAAAAACUAGUAAGAAGGCACAAAAGUAUUAUUCAGGAUCUUCAAGCAAGAGGGAUAAUGUCUGCUUCUUCUUCUUCUGUAGUAUGGAGCAGAGAAGAAGACAUAGCUUUUGAGAGCGCCAUUGCCAUGCACUGGACUGGGGACUCUAAGGAACAGUGGGACAAGAUUGCUUCUAUGGUUCCUAAUAAAAGCAUUGAUGAGUUGAAGCAACACUAUAAAACACUUGUUGAAGAUGUUGAAGCAAUUGAAG
rnacentral:lncRNA from 1 species